rnacentral:tRNA from 2 species
GCGGGUAUAGCUCAGUUGGUUAGAGCGCCAGAUUGUGGCUCUGGAGGCCGUCGGUUCGAGACCGACUACUCGCCCCA